rnacentral:tRNA from 1 species
GGGCUUGUGGUCUAGUGGUAUGAUUCUUCCUUAGCACGGUUGAGGCGUAUAACAUCUCAUCGUACACUUGGAAGAGGUCCGGGGUUCAAUUCCCCGCGAGUCCA